UAUCGGAAGCAAGCAAACAACAGGAAGACCAAUCACCCAGAGGCUCCGCCCGAUUUCCGGCAUGUCCCAUUUGGUUGUUUACAGACGAAGCUAUCAAACAGGAUGCGACAUCAUUAAGGCAGGUGAAUCAUUGCUCAUGUGACGGCCUCGUCACCGACACUGAUUUCAGCGAUGGUAUCUCCCGUCUUCUCGGACGUCCUGCGGACACACGACAAGUGGGUACAAGGGAGACUUCACUACGCCAACUGGGCCUUUCCUCAGCGAGAACAGAGAAGAUGGUUGUUCCAAAACUCUCGAGUGUCCAGACUCCUCCAUUAAAAAAUAUAAAAUAAACUUGGGAGGGACCUGAAGCUUCCAGUUACUAAGCGGCAUCUGAGGAACUUGAAGGAUUUGAAAGUUUCGGUAAAGAGGGGUGUGCCAAAAUCCCUUCUGAGCUGGGUGCAAACCUGGGGAUCAUUCUCAAGAAACAUUCUCACCGCUUGACAGCAUUUUUUUUUUUGCAGCAGCAGCAGCAGCACUUUGUUACAUUUUGCUUGGUAGAAAUGCACAAAAUUGUAUACUUUCAUAUUAUUUACAAGAUGAUAUCAACAGUGCUUAUUUUGACAGUUAAUACGAUUGCAAUGUUACUUUUAACAACCUCAUUGUACUUCUAUUUCCCUAAUCUAGUAAAAGCGAGUAGAUACUUAAAAAAAA